rnacentral:precursor_RNA from 10 species
AGUUUUUGACUACAAUGUUGUGUGGUGGACGGGCCCGAAAUUUUGGCUCAAACCUCUGAAUUAUCAGGUGAGCAAAGUUUUUGGGUGGUCUGCAGGCAACGCAAACAUCAGCAAGAAUC